rnacentral:rRNA from 1 species
UACAGAGGUCCCGAGCGUUGUUCGGAUUCACUGGGCGUAAAGCGCGUGUAGGCUGCUUGGAAAGUCGGAUGUGAAAGCCCUGGGCUCAACCCAGGAAGUGCACUCGAAACUUCCGAGCUCGAGUUCUGGAGAGGAUAGCGGAAUUCUCGGUGUAGAGGUGAAAUUCGUAGAUAUCGAGAGGAACACCGGUGGCGAAGGCGGCUAUCUGGACAGAAACUGACGCUGAGACGCGAAAGCGUGGGGAGCAAACAGG